CAGAGCACUCCUACGGGAGGCAGCAGCAGGGAAUCUUGCGCAAUGGGCGAAAGCCUGACGCAGCAACGCCGCGUGAGGGAUGAAGGCCUUCGGGUUGUAAACCUCUUUCAGAAGGAAGAAAUUGACGGUACCUUCAGAAGAAGCCCCGGCCAACUACGUGCCAGCAGCCGCGGUAAUACGUAGGGGGCAAGCGUUGUCCGGAAUUAUUGGGCGUAAAGCGCAUGUAGGCGGCUCUUUAAGUCUGAUGUGAAAGCCUGUGGCUCAACCACAGAAUUGCAUUGGAUACUGGAGAGCUAGAAUCUUGGAGAGGUAAGUGGAAUUUCAUGUGUAGCGGUGGAAUGCGUAGAUAUAUGAAGGAACACCAAUGGCGAAGGCAGCUUACUGGACAAGUAUUGACGCUGAGAUGCGAAAGUGUGGGUAGCAAACAGGAUUAGAUCCCCUGGUAG
rnacentral:rRNA from 1 species